rnacentral:rRNA from 1 species
UACGUAGGGUGCGAGCGUUGUCCGGAUUUAUUGGGCGUAAAGAGCUCGUAGGUGGUUUGUCGCGUUGUUCGUGAAAACCUGAGGCUUAACCUUGGGCGUGCGGGCGAUACGGGCAGACUGGAGUACUGCAGGGGAGACUGGAAUUCCUGGUGUAGCGGUGGAAUGCGCAGAUAUCAGGAGGAACACCGGUGGCGAAGGCGGUUCUCUGGGCAUUACCUGACGCUGAGGAGCGAAAGUGUGGGGAGCGAACAGG